UUUUCACGGUGAGGGAAGGGGCUCAAAAGCAAGAGACCAGUGAGGUCGUCGGUUAUUAGCUUGUAUGAUGGUGGGUUUGGUGGAAAGAAGGCAAAUUUCGCCGCCAUGGACGAUGUCACCCCUCCCAUCUCUUUCUCUCUCCCCCUUGCUCUGUUUUUCAGUUCUCUUUUUCCUUUGCUUCCUCUGUUUUCUUGGUAAGAUAAUCUUUCCGUUUUAGAGAGCCUGAAAUCUGGACUUAGUUUAGAUCAGAAACAUUCUAUUCCAUUC
rnacentral:misc_RNA from 1 species